GACAGAGGGGGCAAGCGUUGCUCGGAAUUACUGGGCGUAAAGGGCGCGUAGGCGGGAUGGCAAGUCGGUCGUGAAAUCCCUCGGCUCAACUGAGGAUCGUCGAUCGAUACUGCCGUUCUUGAGGAUUGCAGAGGAGACUGGAAUUCCCGGUGUAGUGGUGAAAUGUGUAGAGAUCGGGAGGAACACCGGUGGCGAAGGCGGGUCUCUGGGCAAUUCCUGACGCUGAGGCGCGAAAGCGUGGGGAGCAAACGGG
rnacentral:rRNA from 1 species